rnacentral:rRNA from 1 species
UACGUAGGGGGCUAGCGUUGUCCGGAUUUAUUGGGCGUAAAGAGCGUGUAGGCGGCCAGGUAGGUCUGGUGUGAAAACUCGAGGCUUAACCUCGAGAUGUCAUCGGAAACCAUCUGGCUAGAGUCCGGAAGAGGAGAGUGGAAUUCCUGGUGUAGCGGUGAAAUUCGUAGAUAUUGGGAAGAACACCAGUGGCGAAGGCGGCUACCUGGCUUGGUACUGACGCUCAGGUGCGAAAGCGUGGGGAGCGAACAGG